rnacentral:rRNA from 1 species
CCUACGGGUGGCUGCAGUGGGGAAUAUUGCACAAUGGGGGGAACCCUGAUGCAGCGACGCCGCGUGAGUGAAGAAGUAUUUCGGUAUGUAAAGCUCGAUCAGCAGGGAAGAAAAUGACGGUACCUGACUAAUAAUCCCCGGCUAACUACGUGCCAGCAGCCGCGGUAAUACGUAGGGGGCCAGCGUUAUCCGGAUUUACUGGGGGUAAAGGGAGCGCAGACGGGGGUGCAAGUCUGGAGUGAAAGGCGGGGGGCCAACCCCCGGACUGGUCUGGAAACUGUAAAGCUGGAGUGAAGGAGAGGUAAGGGGAAUUCCUAGUGUAGCGGUGGAAUGGGUAGAUAUUAGGGGGGAAACCAGAGGGGAAGGGGGGUUAAUGGACUG